rnacentral:rRNA from 1 species
AUGCUGAAGCAGAGUAAGGGGUGCAAGGUGAUGGUUGUAGUUACCACACGUGAUGAAGGGAUUGCAAAUGAAAUCUCCAUUGUGCGGCCUUACAACUUACCUCAAUUGUCAGAUGAGAUGUGCUGGCAAAUAAUGAGCCAAAAAAGUAAAUUUGAAACAAGGGACGACAAAGAGCGGUUGGAACCGAUUGGAAGGGAUAUUGCAAAAAAGUGCAAAGGCGUAGCUUUGGCUGCUCAAUCACUUGGACACAUUUUGAGGUCCAAGUCGUAUGGAGAAUGGAAUUCGGUCAGAACCAAUCAUAUCUGGAAUCUAUCUACUUCUACAGAUGCAUCAUCUAGUCAUGAAGUGCUUGGAUCCUUGUUGUUAAGCUACAACUUGAUGCCUCCAUACUUAAAGUUGUGCUUUGCUUAUUGUGCAAUCUUUCCAAAGGGCCACAAAAUGAUUAAAGAUGAGUUAAUUCAUCAAUGGAUUGCUCUUGGAUUCAUGGAGCCAUCUAGUAUAUUCUCUUAUUGGCAACUCGGUGAGAGUUACAUUGUGCAGCUUCUGGAGAUGUCAUUUCUUCAACAUUCAAAGGCUGUUGUUGAAUGGUACGACACAAACAAGAUUGUCACACUGUUUACAAUGCAUGACCUGGUGCAUGACCUCGCAAGGUCAGUCAUGGCUGACGAAUUUGACUUGGCGGGCCCCAACUGCCGCUAUGCUUGGAACAUAGAUUGCACGAAGCCACUAAAGUCAUCCAAGACUUCACCUGAAAAGUUAAGGGCGCUGAAUAUUGUGGGCGCUGGCAACAGAGGGCCGCCUAUGUUCCAUCGUGAUGCAAUUGUACCAGCAAAGUACAUCCGUGUCUUGCAUGCAACAGUCAAUUCAAAUAGGUUGUUCGUUUCUAUUAGUCAAUUGAAGCAGUUGAGGUAUCUUAAUGCUCCAAAUAUCCAUGGUCCAGUGGAUUUCGGGUGUAUCGGUAUGCUUCAGAAAUUGAAUUAUCUCAACCUUCGUCAUUGUGAGGAAUUGUCAGCAUUGCCAGAUUCAAUUGGUGAAAUGGAAGGUCUGAUGUAUCUUAACUUAUCAGGUUGUCCAAAUCUGAAAGAACUCCCAGAUUCGUUUGCGGAUCUCAAAGAGUUGGUAUAUCUGAACUUAUCAAACAGUGAUAACGUUUUAGGACUGCCCAAUGCUUUGGCUGACCUUACCAAACUCCAACAAUUAGAAUUAACAGCAUGCAGAACUCUCAGAGGGCGGCCAGACGUCAUCAUCAAUCUUACUGAACUCCGCUAUCUGAGGCUAUCUGGGUGCAUGCAUCAUAUAUUUGACAGCUCAUCAACAGAUCAAACCGAGAGUUUCAUUGACAGUAUCUGUAGGCUUCCCAAUAUGGAGCACCUGGACCUGUCUUUUAAUGGCCAUCCUCUUAUUAGUAUACCAGAAAAUGCUAGCUGCCUCCGGAAGCUGGUACUUCACGGGUGCCGCCAAGUUGCCAGGCUUCCAGAAUGUGUGGCUAAAAUGGACCGUCAAAUCCUUUUUGGCUUGUUGCCACUAUUUUCUAUAACUACUGAUGAUGGUAAAUGUUACAGCAACCUUGGCUUUCUUGAGCAUGUAAAUCCUCACAAGCUGAACAUCAAGAAACUUGAAAAUGUGAAGUCCCCAGAAGAGGCACGGAGUGUAAGACUGAUUGAAAAACAUAGGAUUGAAGAAAUGUCAUUAAUGUGGAACCCACAAGCUGAGAGAUCUGUGGAUGACAUGGAGUUGCUGAGGGAGCUAGUGCCACCAACCACUUUGCAAAAGUUUGAGAUAUAUGGUUAUAUUAGUGCCAGCUUUCCAGACUGGGUAAUGAGUAUUGGCAAUUAUCCCCCUAAUCUUGACCGAAUGGAGAUGUAUGGUUUGCCCAACUGCAAAAGCCUUCCACCUCUCGCCCAACUACCACCAAACCUCCGGGUGCUUACUCUGGAAGAAAUGGAAUGCCUGGAAGAAUGGAACACAACAUACUGCAGCGGUGAGGAUGGUGUGAAUGAGCUUAUGUUGUGUAAGCUUGAGCAAGUGAACAUACAUUUUUGCCCCAAGUUGAGGAUAACACCACACCUUCCUAGAGCUGCAUCUUGGAGUAUACGGGGAAGUGAUAAUGUGCUCAUAUCAUGGGCAGAGAGCGUGUCACACAAUGAUGCUUCCUCAUCUUUUUCAGGAGUAUCUACUACUCUGAUAGUUGGAAGAAGCAAGGUGCCUCUGCACCAGUGGAGAUUGCCUCACCAUAUACCUGCCCUCAUUGCUUUGCACACCUAUAAUUGCUGGGAUUUGACAAGCUCGCCAGAGAUCACCUGGGCCCUCCAGUCCCUGAAAUCACUCAAACUGGACAGCUUUGCCCAAUCAAAACUGUCGGAAUGGGUAGGAGAGUUGGCCUCUGUUCAGCAACUGACGAUAAACCGAUGCAUGAUGCUAGAGGAAUUGCCCGGUAACAUGAGGCAACUCAAACAGCUGCAAUCAUUAAAACUAAAUAUCUGUUGUAGCUUGAGACAGCUGCCGCUGUGGUUAGGAGAACUUACCUCUCUCAAGAAACUUAUAAUUUGGAAAUGUUCUGCUAUCACGACUCUGCCGAACAGCAUACAGCAGCUCACAAACCUCCAAGAAUUAGAAAUUCACGGCUGCCCUAACUUAGAGCAGUGGUGUGAAGCAGAGGAGAACAAGCCGAAGCUUGCUCACAUAGAAAAAAAGAUUUGGCAGAGUACGAUUUUCUCCCCGAAGAGGGCUGCCACUCCCGCCAGCUGCCGAUGUUCCCAACUACGGUGGCCCUUGCUGCGAAAGAAAAUAAGAAAGUGA